rnacentral:rRNA from 1 species
CACAGUGACUAUUGUCACAGGGGUUAAAGAUGACCUCUACUUGUAAGUUAUCACUUAGAGACGGGCUUAUGCACCAUCAGCUUGUUGGUAGGGUAACGGCCUACCAAGGCUAUGACGGUUAGCUGAUCUGAGAGGUUGAUCAGCCACACUGGAACUGAGACACGGUCCAGACUCCUACGGGAGGCAGCAGUAGGGAAUAUUGCGCAAUGGACGAAAGUCUGACGCAGCGACGCCGCGUGGGUGAUGAAGGCCUUCGGGUCGUAAAGCCCUGUCGGAAGGGAAGAAAAACGAGGAGGAUAACACCCUUCUCGCUUGACGGUACCUUUAGAGGAAGCACCGGCUAACUACGUGCCAGCAGCCGCGGUAAUACGUAGGGUGCAAGCGUUGUUCGGAAUCAUUGGGCGUAAAGAGCGUGUAGGCGGCUAGCCAAGUCGAUUGUGAAAGCCCCCGGCUCAACCGGGGAAGUGCAGUCGAAACUGGUUGGCUCGAGAACGGUAGAGGAAGGUGGAAUUCCUAGUGUAGAGGUGAAAUUCGUAGAUAUUAGGAGGAAUACCUGUGGCGAAGGCGGCCUUCUGGGCCGUUUCUGACGCUGAGACGCG